AGUUUACCAGAAUAGAGCGAAGGCAGCGCAGAACUUCUCAAAGACGGCCCCAGUUUUCUUAGAUAGCACUGUUUUUUGUUUUUUUCCCUCCCAUGUAAAGCCCUCCGGAAACUUAGGUGAACGCCAGCUUGGAAUUUUGUCCCAUCCCCCUGCCGCGGGCCGAAUGAUGGUGUCUCCUCCAAAUUCAUGUGUUGAAGCUCUAACCCCCGUGUGUGGGUGUUUGCAGGUGGCCUCUGGUCUCCACGUCAGCAUCCGAAGCCUCUGUGUCCUGAAGGCGCAGUCCGAGGAGCCGGUUUGCCACCAAAGCUUAAAGCCAGGUGUCAAUAAACCCACUGGGGACCAGGCCGGACGAACUUUGGAAGAAAAGGUGCUGCGUGCCCUUCAGCAGUUCCAGCGAAAGGCCCAUCAGUUGGUGCCUCGGUCCCCUGGGCUUCCAGCCAAGCACACCUGACUGGAUUAAUGAGCAUCUGGUUGGGGAAGAAAAGGAGCCAGAGGCGGCAGGACAUUUGUGAGAGAAGCGGGGGACACCAUUCACCAGCAAGAACAGCAGCAUAAGCCGGCGUGAACUCCAACCAUCCUGGGCAAGUGCCCGGGGGUCCCCUGGCUUGGAACCAGUUGAAGCUGAUUAUGAGAGAUUCCACUGUCAUGCUGCAACCAAGCAAAAACACAAUAUGCACAGUUGCUAGAAAAGUCACCCCUCCGUUGACUGUUGUCUGUGUGCAUCAGAAAGGUGAUGCCACAGACCUGUGGUGAGGGCAAGGUGGAAUGAGACAAGAGUGACAGUUUGGCGUGGAGGGUGGCAUUUGGCUACGUAAGGACACAGCGCGGACCCAAUUACAACUGAGGCCAGAGCCAUUAUAUCCCAGGGUCAAAACGGGGACCCUGCUGUUCCCCUGCUCCAAGCCUCUAAGCAGCUCCCCAUGGUUGACUGAGAGAAGCAGGCCACCUGCACUGAAGACUUGCUCUCCGGGCCCCAUCCUGGAAGCACAGGCCUCCUCCCAGCUGGCCUCCAGGAUGUCUCACCCCUGCGCCUCUGCUCCAUGGUGUAUGGAAGUUCCCAGGCUAGGGGUUGAAUUGAAGCUGCAGCUCAGACUCAGCCAGAUCUGAGCCACAUCUGCCACCAACACCACAGCUCACGGCAACACUGGAUCCUUAACCCACUGAGCAAGGCCAGGGAUACUAGUUGGGUUCGUUACUACCGAGCCACCACGGGAGCUCCAGGUGAUCCUUUUGAGGAAAGGAAUUGAGGUUAUUUAAUUGGGGGAGGGUCAGGAGUGCCUGAGCCCCGUCUUGACGUGGUUAACAAGGUUGGGAAAGAUGUUGUCUGCUCGUCUCCUGUUUUUGCAAAAAGCCACUCAGAUUGAGUUCCAGGAAGGACUGUCUUGCAUGAUGACACAUUUCGGCCGGGUCCCUAUUCGUGACAGACCCAGGGGAGCAAGCUAGAUUCUGGGGCGAAGCGGCUAAUUCCAACUGGGACAGGGGACUUCAGAUGCCAGCCUCCUCUCUGAAGGGGACGCUGGGACAGUCUGGGGAGAGAAACCCGAGGCCUUCGGUUUGUGAACAAGCUGGCGGGAACCUCCAGGACGAAGGUGUGGCGAGCGGCCCAGGACAGGGAGGCAGGAAUCUAAAGCUGAUGCGACAGAGACUCGACCCUCUGCUCUGUUCUGCUUGAAGGUGGGUGGGCGACAGCUGUGGCAGGGGGACACCACUGGACAGACAGGCACUCUCGUGAUCCUCAGCGCCUUGGAGCCUAGAGGGGCAGGGAGGGUCCCGUCGGGGCCAGAUGUCCUUAAGAAGAGACAGAAAAAGAACCUCUGCGUGCCCACUACAGGACGGAAGUCGCCUCCCUCCCCUCCUUCCUUCCCUCCGAUUCAUUCAUUCAUUCCUUCGACCUGAGCCUCGGUGCUGUGGCAGCUGCCAGCACAGAAGCAGAGCAGGGAAAGAUGAGAGGCGAGGCGGAUGAACAAGUGCAUUGUGGGACCGUAUGGUAAGUUCUAGGAGAGAGGCAAGCCUGGGGCAGGGGGCUUCCACCAGCCCGGGAGCAUGGGGUCUGGGAAACCAGACUUCCUGGGGAGAGGGGCCUUAAAGAUGAUGGGGGUGGUGGGCGACUAUAGCAGCCACGCCCCCGAUGGUAGGUGCAGGUGCUGCUCCCUGCAGGGGACAUGCCUUCCAUGGUCUGCCUUCCCUGCUCCUUUUCCAGCCGUGGGCACUACCGCUCUCUCUUUGGGAGUUUGUGCACAGGGUGGGGAACUCAAGCCGAGAGAAGAGGGGAGGGGCCCCAGGGGAGGGGCAGGGAAGAGCCCCGCUGGGUACCUGACGACAGGUGUUCAGGAAGGACUUCAGGCCGGGCUGCAUCCGGAGGACUCCGGAGGAUGGAGCUGACCCUGCGGGCUGCGGUGCUCCUUGCAGGAAAAGGCGGGGGGUCAGUGGCGAUCUUGAAGCCAGUGGGUGACGAGGUAUGGGUCACUCUUCAGAGAGGUGCGUGGAGGCUGCGUGGAGGGGUUCUGGAGGAAGUGAACAAGGAGGAGCUGGUCAGGGAGGAGGACUGGAGCGAGCAGGCCCGUCACACACCCCAUCAGCCCCAGCCCUGGUCCCGACGAGGACACCGAGGUUCAGGGUGGACCUCGGAAUCACGGCUGGCAUGUCGCAGGAUUCCAGGGCAGUUCUUGACUCUGAGGGGAGCGGGCUCUCCAGCACGCCGCAGAACCUUCGGCUGGGUGAUUUUUGCCGAAGCCUUUGGCCCCGGCCCUGCAGCCUGCCAUUGGCUCUCUUUCAGGGUCACGGGAGGGAGAAACCCUUUGCUCUGAACGUUGGUUUCCCUUCCUGUUUCGCUUCAGUGGGCAUUACAGGCUCUGAAUGGGGAGCCUGAGCCCUUGGCUCCCAUGGGCUGGUGGUUCGGAAAGCAAAGCAGCGCACGCGUGUGGCCGGCCACGCUGGCCGGGCUGCGGUCCCCAGAGGACACUCGGUCCACAGCAGACACCCCCCCGCCGCCCCCUGCCACCGCCUGCCCACCCCACACAUGCUCAGGGCAGAUCUCUGACAGGGAGGCUUUCUGCAAGCCCAGUCUCCUCGGGGCUGUGCUGUCUGGCCCGCAGGACUCAGUGGAUUCUCUUUUACUGAAAUACACAUUUCAAAUAUUUUGUGGCUUCUCGUACAUUUUGUUUAAAAUGAGUUGAAGUUGGAACCUACGAGAGAUAUUUGAAAAAUCUUCCUUAAACACUGAAAAAAAAAAAAAAAAAAAAAAAAAAAAAAAGGUCCCUUGGCUCUGAUUCAAGAGUAAGAAACUUCAUCCCAAAUGAUAAUUAUCUUGAAAAGUUAAGAAGCAGUCGAGGAGUUCCCUUGUGGUGCUGAGGGUUAAGGAUCUGGCAUUAUUGCUGCAGUGGCUCGGCUCACUGCUGUGGCGCCGGUUCGAUUCCUGGUCCCGGGAGCUUCCACAUGCCUGGGGUGUGGCAAAAAGAAGAAGAAGAAGGUGUCAGGAAUGACAGAAGAGAAAGGGCCAUGUGCAAACAGGAGACUGUUGGGAGGCCAUGAAGGAGGAGAGAGCCCCCCCCACAGCUGGACCUGCUCCAUCCCCCCAGGGGGGCCCCUUUGGACCUGCCUAGAGGCUGCUUAUCCUGUUUCUGUCUGUGCCUUUAGGGAAAGUGCUGGGUGCCAACAACGCUGGCCUGGCCUCCUCCCUUUUCCUUUGAAACCUGCAGUCCCAUUAAUGACCAGGUCCCCCCGCCCCCACCCCCCGCACAUACCUUCCUUGGAUAAGCCCUGGCUGCUCUGAGCCAGCACCGCUCAGCUUCUGCAGAAGCCCUGCCCUCUUGUAAUUGCAACUUCCUGCUCAGCCCUGCUGCUUCCGGCAGGAUGCACACACAUCCGCAGGCUCUCGGGCCAGCUCGACCCCUCGGCCUGCGCCUUCGGCCGGCUCGUUGGGCAGCAGAGGAAAAGGUACUGAGCGCUGUUCCAGAUGAAGGAAACGUCCAGCUCCCGGACUGAGGUCUCUAGUUAAACAUGUUUUGAUUUUCCAAAAGGAGGAGGGAAUUUGUAGCUGGAAGGGUUUGCUGAAGACCGAGACAGGAAUGAAUGAGCUUUUGGUCCAAA
rnacentral:lncRNA from 1 species